UACGGGGGGGCAAGCGUUGUUCGGAAUUACUGGGCGUAAAGGGCUCGUAGGCGGCCAACUAAGUCAGACGUGAAAUCCCUCGGCUUAACCGGGGAACUGCGUCUGAUACUGGAUGGCUUGAGUUUGGGAGAGGGAUGCGGAAUUCCAGGUGUAGCGGUGAAAUGCGCAGAUAUCAGGAAGAACACCCGUGGCGAAGGCGGCUCUCUGGGACGGUACUGACGCUGAGACGCGAAAGCGUGGGGAGCGA
rnacentral:rRNA from 1 species